GAGGGUAUAGCUCAGUGGUAGAGUGUGUGUUUAGCAUGCAGGUUCCUGGGUUCAAUCCCCAGGGCCUCCA
rnacentral:tRNA from 1 species